UGAAUUUCCUCGCAAAUAAAUUAUUUAAACGAGAGCGGCAGUGCGAGUAUGUGAACAAAUAAGUAGGUAUGUAUGAACACUCGUAAGCGCCGCAGAGGAGCGGCCAUGUCUACUUACAUAACUGCUAAAUGCAUAAGUACGUGUCGUCGCAUAAGUAGCGAAAUUAGUGCUGAUAAUGUUAGAGGACCGAUUUCGAAUUGGACAAAUGGCACUCAUAAGGCCUCAUAAAGAGCACAAUUGUUUUGUUUACCUAAAGGUUUAAGGUUUAAAGUAAGGUGCGAAAAGCCAUGAAUAUACUUAUACAUUCGGUAUAAGAAGACUCGAUAGUCAUGACUAUCAACAAAUGGCGAAUUGAUAAAUUAAAUGAUAAAGCGACAAAUAGGCUCUUACUUCACGAGAACGAAGAUCACGAAAAUAAACCAAAGGUUUUGAGGAAUAUUUUGAUAAAAAAUAUUGGAAAUAGCAAAAGUCUACCUUUUGUUUGCUGACACUUUGCGCGGUCUGAAAUGAACACGGUGUUGGCGCGAGGGACGCGGCGCGCCGAGCAGUUCGCACGCGUACCUACACUCUUGCACUUGCUAACUGUUCAGCUAUUAUCGUGUGAUUAACCUACGGAAUGGAAGCUUUGAAGGCCAACUUCACAGCGCAGUCACUCACACAUAGCCGAGUACUUUGUAUUCACAUGUACACACAUUUGUAUAAAAUUUUUUCCUAGUACAACUGUAGUUACUGCUGAACAUGAGUGUGUGUAUGCUUUUUCGAUAUUUCCCAUCGCAGUUUUGAAAUCGAGCCCCAUUGAAGUCACCGACCGAAUAACAAAUAUAGCUGAUGUCUUCAGUUGGAAAUGUUUGGAUUGAUUAGCCAUUAUUUAUUGUCGAAUCGAAACUAUUAUGUGUGCUUCUAAAAACUGUUAGGUGAUUGUACUCUAUAACUGGUUUGAGCUAUGUAAUUAUGAACUGACAGCGGUGUCUCAAGCAUUUUAUUUUCUACUACUAUUAGUUCUCUUUGGUGCUCUUACGAAUAAUACAUAUAUGGACCUUGUAUUGUUAAUCAUCAACCGCCAAACAUUGUAAGCUUUAGAAACUUCCCCUCUCAACUUAUUUUUGGAGCACUUUCAUUCCUUUUCUGUUUGACUGGAUAUACAAAAAUUUAUGUAAAAACGUAUGUAUCAUGCAGUUCCGUUCAAUAACAGAAGGUAUUCGAAUGCUGUUUCAGCUCGGCGAGACGAAAAGCCGUUAACACGCCACCUUAGCAACGAGAGGCGCACGAGAAGAUCAAAUAAACAAACAAAUAAAGCUUAUUAGAUAGACAAACAUCAGCAAAAUAACAAAUCAUUUUAAGGCAGAGCAAGCAGCAGCAACAACAACUGCUGACUUAUUUAUCUUCGCACAGCUAAUGAAAAAUAAUAGGAGCACCUCGGAUAUUAUUUCAAGUUCAUUAUCACCUCCAUGAAUAGGAAAAACACCAGUCAGAUAAAACAAAUUGCCGUUAGACUGUACAUUAAGUUUUGUGAUACGAGCUCCAUAAAGAAAAUUCCUCUGGCAGCAUUCGAAAUUAUUUCGCAUAGGAUGGAAAUCAUCAGAACGUCUUCACAAACAUUUUUCUGGAUGUCACAUACACAGUUUUUCAUUUGAGCUGGUUUCCCCACCUAAGUUCCUAUCAUUCACAUGGUAUAUGUGGCACAUCUAUUGUCGGCGCCCGUGGCACGAAAAACCAAAAGUCAAAUUUUGUUGUAUGCUAACAAAAAUUGUCAAUUUUUAAGCACUUUAGCUGCGCGAAAACGCAUACAUAUGUAGGUAUGGUCUGUGUAUGUGUGUCUACAUGUGAGAGUCAGUUUAACAAUACAAAGUCGUCAUUGAUUACUUCGAAAGUCGUUGGGAAUCGAUUGUUUGAUUAUUUUCCUUUGCGUUGCCUACAUUGUCAUGGCCUUUGUUCAACUUUGGGUGGCUACGUUUAUCUUUGGCUGCGUACCUCUUAAACAUAUGUAUUUACAUAUACAUAUGUAUAACAGGAAAUAUCUUGCAGUUCUCUGGAUAUUUUCUCUUUGUUUUAAUAGAAUAAUAGUAGAAAUAGUAUUAACAUAAUCAAAUGGAGUUGCCUGGAAAGACUCUCUGAUAAAGCACCCAAGGAAAUUUCGAUUGAUAACAGAAGGAACAUCAAAUAUGUAGGUGAACUACAUUUAACAACCAACCCAGACACAAAAGACAAAUACAAACGUUUUUCGUAACGAAUUAUUCAGUUUUCAACGUUUAGUUCCUGCAUAAAUCAAUAAUCGUCGAUAGAUCGUGAUGUCAUAAAUUCAAAGCCAUUGAUUAUUGUCGAUUGUAAUUUGAUUGAUUUGAGCUAUUGAUGGAUCUACAACUGCAAUGAUCAAAUUGAUUGAUGUGUAGCGUUCUGUAUCUACAUACAUAUGUAUGUAUAUAAUUUGUUACUAAACGUUUUCAUGAGCAAUACAUACAUAUUUAUAAUUCGAAGGAAAUCAUCAUAUGAAUCAAUUGUCAUUGGCGUGUUGCGACUUGCUUAAGAUCGUGUUCAUAUAGUUCUCUCACAAACAUUAUAAAAAUCAUUCUUCAACAUCAUAAUCAAUUAUUUUCAUAGUUUUAUAAUUGAAAAUUUGUUCACUUUUUUCCA